rnacentral:rRNA from 1 species
AUUGAACGCUGGCGGCAGGCUUAACACAUGCAAGUCGAGCGGAGAUGAGGUGCUUGCACCUUAUCUUAGCGGCGGACGGGUGAGUAAUGCUUAGGAAUCUGCCUAUUAGUGGGGGACAACAUUCCGAAAGGAAUGCUAAUACCGCAUACGUCCUACGGGAGAAAGCAGGGGAUCUUCGGACCUUGCGCUAAUAGAUGAGCCUAAGUCGGAUUAGCUAGUUGGUGGGGUAAAGGCCUACCAAGGCGACGAUCUGUAGCGGGUCUGAGAGGAUGAUCCGCCACACUGGGACUGAGACACGGCCCAGACUCCUACGGGAGGCAGCAGUGGGGAAUAUUGGACAAUGGGGGGAACCCUGAUCCAGCCAUGCCGCGUGUGUGAGGAAGGCCUUAUGGUUGUAAAGCACUUUAAGCGAGGAGGAGGCUACUGAGACUAAUUCUCUUGGAUAGUGGACGUUACUCGCAGAAUAAGCACCGGCUAACUCUGUGCCAGCCGCCGCCGUAAGAC